UACGAAGGGGGCUAGCGUUGCUCGGAAUCACUGGGCGUAAAGGGCGCGUAGGCGGCCGUUCAAGUCGGGGGUGAAAGCCUGUGGCUCAACCAUAGAAUGGCCCUCGAUACUGGAUGGCUCGAGACCGGAAGAGGUUGGUGGAACUGCGAGUGUAGAGGUGAAAUUCGUAGAUAUUCGCAAGAACACCAGUGGCGAAGGCGGCCAACUGGUCCGGUUCUGACGCUGAGGCGCGAAAGCGUGGGGAGCAAACAGG
rnacentral:rRNA from 1 species